rnacentral:rRNA from 1 species
UACGGGGGGGGCAAGCGUUGUUCGGAAUUACUGGGCGUAAAGGGCUCGUAGGUGGCCAACUAAGUCAGACGUGAAAUCCCUCGGCUUAACCGGGGAACUGCGUCUGAUACUGGUUGGCUUGAGUUUGGGAGAGGGACGCGGAAUUCCAGGUGUAGCGGUGAAAUGCGUAGAUAUCGAGAGGAACACCUGCGGCGAAGGCGGGUUGCUGGGCUGACACUGACGCUGAUGCGCGAAAGCUAGGGGAGCGAACGGG